UACGGGGGGGGCAAGCGUUGUUCGGAAUUACUGGGCGUAAAGGGCUCGUAGGUGGCCAACUAAGUCAGACGUGAAAUCCCUCGGCUUAACCGGGGAACUGCGUCUGAUACUGGUUGGCUUGAGUUUGGGAGAGGGAUGCGGAAUUCCAGGUGUAGCGGUGAAAUGCGUAGAUAUCAGGAGGAACACCGAUGGCGAAGGCAGUUCUCUGGGCCGUAACUGACGCUGAGGAGCGAAAGCGUGGGGAGCGAACAGG
rnacentral:rRNA from 1 species